rnacentral:rRNA from 1 species
CAGCAGCCGCGGGAAUACAGAGGGUGCGAGCGUUAAUCGGAUUUACUGGGCGUAAAGCGUGCGUAGGCGGCUUCUUAAGUCGGAUGUGAAAUCCCUGAGCUUAACUUAGGAAUUGCAUUCGAUACUGGGAAGCUAGAGUAUGGGAGAGGAUGGUAGAAUUCCAGGUGUAGCUGUGAAAUGCGUAGAGAUCUGGAGGAAUACCGAUGGCGAAGGCAGCCAUCUGGCCUAAUACUGACGCUGAGGUACGAAAGCAUGGGGAGCAAACAGGAUUAGAUACCCCGGUAGUCCCUGUCUCUUAUAC